GGAAAAUAUAGAGCUACAUAGGAAAUUAAACAUCGUUCAUCAAGAGAAUACGGAAUUACAAAACAAGUUAAAUGAUCAAGGAGCAGUGAACAUGGGAAUCACAAGUCCUUUUACCAAGUGCAACAUUACUGCUCCAACGGACAAAAAUUCAGUUCGCCUGGAUUCAUGCCACCCAGAUUGGGAUGAUGAACCAGAAUCGUCCACCUUCUGCAUACUAUCACUAUCCGGAGACUGGCUCCGACAUGCGUUGCUCGAAGUAUCCAAUACAAGGACCGUCAGUAGAUAUAUCAACCGAAUUAGACUAAGUCUCCCAUAUAAGGGUACGUUGAAGAUCAAAUUCUGUGUAAAUCAAGUGCUAGUUGUUGUUUCUCCACUAAGUAUGUUCCCAAGAAUUGUAUGCAUAAUUAGAUUUACC